rnacentral:rRNA from 1 species
AGUGAACGCUGGCGGUAGGCCUAACACAUGCAAGUCGAACGGCAGCACAGUAAGAGCUUGCUCUUAUGGGUGGCGAGUGGCGGACGGGUGAGGAAUAUAUCGGAAUCUACUUUUUCGUGGGGGAUAACGUAGGGAAACUUACGCUAAUACCGCAUACGACCUACGGGUGAAAGCAGGGGAUCUUCGGACCUUGCGCGAUUGAAUGAGCCGAUGUCGGAUUAGCUAGUUGGCGGGGUAAAGGCCCACCAAGGCGACGAUCCGUAGCUGGUCUGAGAGGAUGAUCAGCCACACUGGAGCUGAGACACGGUCCAGACUCCUACGGGAGGCAGCAGUGGGGAAUAUUAGACAAUGGGCGCAAGCCUGAUCCAGCCAUACCGCGUGGGUGAAGAAGGCCUUCGGGUUGUAAAGCCCUUUUGUUGGGAAAGAAAAGCAGCAGGUUAAUACCCCGCUGUUCUGACGGUACCCAAAGAAUAAGCACCGGCUAACUUCGUG